AAGUCGUAACAAGGUUUCCGUAGGUGAACCUGCGGAAGGAUCAUUAAAAGAUUUUUGGUAUAAUUUUUUGGGGUCAAUUGAUCUCAAAAAAUAAUUCACCUUUUGUGCAUUGUUAUUAAGAUAUACUUUGGUUAGAGCUUUGACAUUAAGUCAACUUCUUGCUAACUCUAUCCUUUAAAGGACAGUUGGCUAUGAAGCGUGCCUACCAAGGUUUUUAAAUCAAACUCUUUGUAUUUUGUCUGACCUAAAUAAAUAAUAAUUAAAUCAUAACUUUCAACAACGGAUCUCUUGGCUCUC
rnacentral:misc_RNA from 1 species